UGUGGAGUGUGCUUUCAGUUUCAGUA
rnacentral:piRNA from 1 species